GGAGAGUUGGCCGAGCGGUUGAUGGCGGCUGUCUUGAAAACAGUUGUGCCUGUUGAGGGUACCGGGGGUUCGAAUCCCUCACUCUCCGCCA
rnacentral:tRNA from 1 species